rnacentral:rRNA from 1 species
UUUAAAGUCUGACCUGCCCAAUGAUAAGUUUAAUGGCCGCAGUAUUUUGACUGUGCAAAGGUAGCAUAAUCAUUAGUUUUUUAAUUGAAAGCUAGAAUGAAUGGUUUAAUGAGAAAAAAGCUGUCUAUAUUUUAAUUAGUUAAAAUUUUAUUUUUAAGUUAAAAAGCUUAAAUAUUUUAAAAAGACGAGAAGACCCUAUAGAGCUUAAUUUUAAAAUAUUUAUAUAUUUAAAGAGUUUAAUAUAAAUAAAUUAUUUAAAAAUUUUAUUGGGGUGAUAAAAAAAUUUGAUUAACUUUUUUUAAUUUAGAACAUUUAUAAAUGAUAAUUUGAUCCUAAUAUUUAGAUUAAAAGAAAAAGUUACCUUAGGGAUAACAGCGUAAUUUUUUUUGAGAGUUCUUAUCGAAAGAAAAGAUUGCGACCUCGAUGUUGGAUUAAAGUUAAGUUUUGGUGUAGAAGCUAGAAUUUUAAGUCUGUUCGACUUUUAAAACUUUACA